rnacentral:rRNA from 1 species
AAUAUUUGUCAAUGGGCGCAAGCCUGAACCAGCCAUUCCGCGUGCCGGAGGACUGCCCNACGGGUNGNAAACUGCUUUUAUCUGGNCAUAAACCUGCCCUCGUGAGGGUAGCUGACUGUACCGUAAGAAUAAGGAUCGGCUAACACCGUGCCAGCAGCCGCGGUAAUACGGAGGAUCCGAGCGUUAUCCGGAUUUAUUGGGUUUAAAGGGUGCGUAGGCGGCAUGCUAAGUCAGGGGUGAAAGACGGUGGCUCAACCAUCGCAGUGCCUUUGAUACUGGCGUGCUUGAAUGUACAUGAGGUAGGCGGAAUGUGGCAAGUAGCGGUGAAAUGCAUAGAUAUGCCACAGAACACCGAUUGCGAAGGCAGCUUACCAAGGUAUGAUUGACGCUGAUGCACGAAAGCGUGGGGAUCAAAC